rnacentral:rRNA from 1 species
CAGUCGCCGCGGGAAUACGAAGGGGGCUAGCGUUGCUCGGAAUGACUGGGCGUAAAGGGCGCGUAGGCGGCAUAUACAGUCAGGCGUGAAAUUCCCGGGCUUAACCUGGGGGCUGCGUUUGAUACGUAUGGGCUAGAGUGGGGAAGAGGGUUGUGGAAUUCCCAGUGUAGAGGUGAAAUUCGUAGAUAUUGGGAAGAACACCGGUGGCGAAGGCGGCAACCUGGUCCUUGACUGACGCUGAGGCGCGAAAGCGUGGGGAGCAAACAGGAUUAGAUACCCGUGUAGUCCCUGUCUCUUAUAA